rnacentral:rRNA from 2 species
CACAUCCUGGGGCUGAAGUAGGUCCCAAGGGUAUGGCUGUUCGCCAUUUAAAGUGGUACGCGAGCUGGGUUUAGAACGUCGUGAGACAGUUCGGUCCCUAUCUGCCGUGGGCGCUGGAGAACUGAGGGGGGCUGCUCCUAGUACGAGAGGACCGGAGUGGACGCAUCACUGGUGUUCGGGUUGUCAUGCCAAUGGCACUGCCCGGUAGCUAAAUGCGGAAGAGAUAAGUGCUGAAAGCAUCUAAGCACGAAACUUGCCCCGAGAUGAGUUCUCCCUGAGACUUAGAGUCUCCUGAAGGAACGUUGAAGACGACGACGUUGAUAGGCCGGGUGUGUAAGCGCAGCGAUGCGUUGAGCUAACCGGUACUAAUGAACCGUGAGGCUUAACCUUAC